ensembl:snoRNA Gm26495 small nucleolar RNA SNORA4
UCAGUAAAUGUUAAAACAUUAAAAAGCAUGACCUGUAAACUUAACUAAUCCAGGCUAUUUGGCAGAAAGAGUAAGACCACACUCCACAGUAGGCUGUACCCCUUAGUAUAGUGCAUUACUAUAUUGUGGUCUACAUU